AGAGUUUGAUCAUGGCUCAGAAUCAACGCUGGCGGCGUGCCUAACACAUGCAAGUCGAACGCGAAAAUCCCGCAAGGGAUGAGUAGAGUGGCAAACGGGUGAGUAACGCGUGGGUGACCUGCCUUUCGAGCGGGGGAUAACGUUCCGAAAGGGACGCUAAUACCGCAUAACAUCCUGCCUUUGAACAGGCGGAGAUCAAAGCUGGGGAUCGCAAGACCUAGCACUCGAAGAGGGGCCCGCGUCCGAUUAGCUAGUUGGUGAGGUAACGGCUCACCAAGGCAACGAUCGGUAGCCGGCCUGAGAGGGCGGACGGCCACACUGGGACUGAGACACGGCCCAGACUCCUACGGGAGGCAGCAGUGGGGAAUUGUUCGCAAUGGGCGCAAGCCUGACGACGCAACGCCGCGUGGAGGAUGAAGAUUUUCGGAUCGUAAACUCCUGUCGAAUGGGACGAACGGGUCGCGCGUGAAUACCGCGCGGCCGUGACGGUACCGUUAAAGGAAACCCCGGCUAACUCCGUGCCAGCAGCCGCGGUAAUACGGGGGGGGUAAGCGUUGUUCGGAAUUACUGGGCGUAAAGGGCUCGUAGGCGGCCAACUAAGUCAGACGUGAAAUCCCUCAGCUUAACUGGGGAACUGCGUCUGAUACUGGAUGGCUUGGAUUUGGGAGAGGGAUGCGGAAUUCCAGGUGUAGCGGUGAAAUGCGUAGAUAUCUGGAGGAACACCGGUGGCGAAGGCGGCAUCCUGGACCAACAUUGACGCUGAGGAGCGAAAGCCAGGGGAGCAAACGGGAUUAGAUACCCCGGUAGUCCUGGCCCUAAACGAUGAAUGCUUGGUGUGGCGGGUAUCGAUCCCUGCCGUGCCGAAGCUAACGCAUUAAGCAUUCCGCCUGGGGAGUACGGUCGCAAGGCUGAAACUUAAAGGAAUUGACGG
rnacentral:rRNA from 1 species